rnacentral:tRNA from 1 species
GAGGAUGUAGCUCAGUGGCAGAGUGUAUGCCUAACACGCACAAGGUCCUGAGUUCAAGCCCUAGUACCUCCA